GAGCCUGGUCGGAUAGUUGCCCCGCCAGUAGUGGGGAGGAAAGUCCGAACAUCCUUGAUCUUUGAUUUAGAAGUACGUCGUGGGUAACGCCCACCCAGUUGUAUGUGAAUACAAUUGAGGGACAGUGCCACAGAGACAAUACUACCCGCCAAUAUCUUUUAAGGUUGUGGCGGGGAAAGGUGAAAAGUCUAUGGAGGUUUACGCCACCAUAGAGAAUCCGUAGCGAUACGGAUACUUGGUAAACCCGACGUGAUGCAAGGCCGUGAUAAUUUAGAGGUUGGAGAUUUGAGGUGGGAAGUUGGAUAAUCUAAUUUCUAACUUCCCACCUCCAACUUCUACUUUGUAGUGCCGCUUGACCCCGAGAGUAAUCGAGGGGCUUAGAUAAAUAACUAUCGUCCAGACUAAAACGUCUGGAUACAGAAUUCGGCUUAUAGAUCAGGCAAACAA
rnacentral:RNase_P_RNA from 1 species